CUCCAAGCCUACACCUUCCCAAACCCUAAUCAAUUUUCGCCCCGCAAACCCAUUUUCUCUUUCUAAACCAUUCUACAAAUCCAAUUCCCGCAGACCCAUCUCCGUGAACUGCGCCAUUUCUCGCACCAAGAAGGAAGAAACUGUAGAAACUGUCAAAACACAGCUGGAGAACUGUCACCUGAUGGCAGCCNNNNNNNNNNNNACUGUUAAACAAUUCCAAGAAUUGAGGAGAUCAUUGCCUGAAUCCUCCAAACUUCUCGUAGCAAAGAACACUUUGGUAUACAAGGCCAUAGAGGGUACCCAAUGGGAGGCCUUGAAGCCCUGUAUGAAGGGUAUGAAUGCUUGGCUUUUUGUGCAUAGUGAGGAGAUACCUGAGGCUAUUAAGCCGUAUAGGAAUUUCCAGAAGGAGAAGAAGUUGGAGAACAAUGACUUUACUGGGGCGGUUUUUGAGGGGAAGUUUUAUGGGCCAGGAGAUUUUAAGCAGCUGGAGACAAUGCCAUCCAGAGCAGAGCUAUAUGCUAAAAUUUUGGGUGCCUUGCAGAGCCCUGCAAUUGGUUUGGUGAGUACCUUACAGGCGCCGGCCAGGGAUGUGAUUAUGGUGCUCAAGGCUUAUGUGAAGAAGCUGGAGGAUGAGAGUGGUGG
rnacentral:misc_RNA from 1 species